GUGGGGAAUAUUGGACAAUGGGCGAAAGCCUGAUCCAGCCAUGCCGCGUGUGUGAAGAAGGUCUUCGGAUUGUAAAGCACUUUAAGUUGGGAGGAAGGGUAGUAACCUAAUACGUUGCUACUUUGACGUUACCGACAGAAUAAGCACCGGCUAACUUCGUGCCAGCAGCCGCGGUAAUACGAAGGGUGCAAGCGUUAAUCGGAAUUACUGGGCGUAAAGCGCGCGUAGGUGGUUCAGUAAGUUGGAAGUGAAAUCCCCGGGCUGAACCUGGGAACUGCUGUCACAACUGCUGAGCUAGAGUACGGUAGAGGGUGGUGGAAUUUCCUGUGUAGCGGUGAAAUGCGUAGAUAUAGGAAGGAACACCAGUGGCGAAGGCGACCACCUGGACUGAUACUGACACUGAGGUGCGAAAGCGUGGGGAGCAAACAGGAUUAGAAACCCGUGUAGUCC
rnacentral:rRNA from 1 species